CCCACCAGGGGUUAACCGCCGCCGCCGCCUCAUUGGUCGAGGCGGGAAGAACCGGGGGGCGGAGCGGCGGCGGGAGACGCGCGCACGGCCGGCGUGGGGAGGGAGCUGCGCGGGCGCGCGCGCGCUCUCGGGGGUACACGUGACCGCGCGGAUACUACGUGGGACCGGGACCAUCCCGCUGGGGGUGGUUCGGACCCCUCGCCCACCUUUCCCGUCCCCCAGCCCCGUGUCUGGCGUGGGCCUCGUGCCGCCGGUUCCUCCCGCGGCCCCGCUCCGGGCCGGCUCCCCUCCUCCCGCGGUGCAGUGCCGCCCUUGCCCCCGGGCCGGGCCCCGGCGGUCUCUGCCCGGGGAACGGGGCGGCCGGGAGCGCGGAGGAGCGAGGCGCGACGCGUCGGACGUGCGGGAAACUGGGAGAACUCCCCUCGACAGCCGGAAUGAAGGUGUGUUUCUGUCCGGGACCCUGACGUCAGACCCCUUGGUCUCCUGAUGGAAAAUGCAGGUUCAGCCAAUGCAGCAACCAGACAGACUGGAUACUGUGGACUAGGAGGAAAUUUCUUCAAAAGGUAGAGUACGCACUUUAUAUGCAAGUCUGUUCCUACUCCUGUUUCUGCUUCCCUUGAAGAAAACCGCUUGCCUCAUCCCUUCCCAUCUCCAUUUUCUCAUUGAAAUGAGAAAAAGAAAAAAAACGUUACUGAUCUCUACAAAGUGUAGACAUAAAACUCUGCCUGCCUGGUAAAUUAAUUAACAUCUCCUCUCCCAGAGAAGAAUCUUUUUGGGAAACACUCUCUUAUCAGCCAAGGGACAGAGUAGCCAUUCUAAAAUCUUCUGAUUCCAACUUGUCUACAAAUGUUUUGCUUACUGUGAGCAGGAAAACGGUCACUUGUAAUAAUGUAGAUUCCUCCCCCCCCCGCCCCGCCCCGCCUUUGCAUUUCCAUACCAAAUGACUGGUCUGACUUUGUAGAAAUUAUAUUGCUUGGCUAAAGGGGGGGCAGUGAUAUCUACAAGUUAGCUGCCUGUCAUAGAUAAGUGAGGAUGUGUGAGAACAGUCAUCAUUUGGGGAAUGCCUCAGAAGAUAAGGUAAGAGAAUUUGGUUAUGGUGGCAGAUAAAGCCAGAGAUACAGAACCCAAAUUAUUUGCUUCCAAAUACAUUGCCUUUGUGAGAGGUGCUUUAAUUUUGUUGGCCUUUUUGUACAGGAAAGGGUUUGUGCUUAUUUGUUGGUAUCAGUAUUAAAACAUGUUAUGCAAAUACCUUUUAUGCUUCUCUUGGUCCCUAAAAAAACAGACCAAUGCUAUUUAACUUUACAAAUUGAAGCCACUAUAGCUUAAGAGAUGUUUAUCCAACUCACAAAAUCAAAAAAACGAAGAAUUACUGUUCAUUAGUUAUGGUAUGGUUAAGUUUUGAGAUUUGUGCUGAGCUUGUGUUUAGCUAGAAAUGGAAAUUUGAUUAAAAUGUAUAAACGAUCGUUUUAGUGUCUUGCUAAAAUUCUUGUAUGGGUACAUAGAGAAAAAUUAUCAAAAUAUGUUUUGUAUUUAACUCAGGUCUAUUGAAAAAUGGAUAUUAACUGCAAGUAAUAAAUUAGCAGGCCUCUUGUUUGACCAUGCGCAACACAAUUCUUAGACCAAGCAGAGAUUCCCAAAGAUACAGGUGAGAGACUAAGGAGAUUUUUAGGAGCACUCCUGAUGAAGUUCCAAUUCCACCUGUGUGUUUUAAGUAUCUUGUAGCAAGAUUUUCAAAUGUAGGUGUUUUUUAAAGUUUUUAACCAGGUCUGAAUUUCUCCUGCUUCUUUUUUGCUCAUAGACAAAUGGAGGAAAAUGAACUUUCCUGCCUGCUUGGAGCCAAGUUUUCUUCAGUUUUGCAUUAACCUGUUACGAUGCUUUUCUGGAGCACAGGAAGAUGUUUUCAGGCUUUAGAUGUGUCACAGGAAAGUAAGUGUUCAGUUAAUUUAACAUUUUUCCUUUCAUGUGGUAUUAUUUUAAGUAACAGAUACUCCUAUUUAUAGCCAGAAAGACACACUCAGAGGUCAAACAUUUAGGGUGGGAUCCAUCUUAUCCAACUUCAGUGAUCUAGAAGUUAGGUGUGUCACCUCAGUCAGUUCUCUAGGCUCUGUCUAUAGAUAAAUUGGGAUGGGGAGGGAAGGGAGAGCGGCAGUUCUGCAGGCAAUUCAUUCCAUGCUGGGAUACUCAUCCCACUAUCUAAAUCUCUUGGCCUUUGAAGGUGCCUAUCUCUCUAUUGAUUAAAGAUGGAGCCUGGAUGACUGGCUCAGAUUAGAGAGCAGACUUUUGGAUGGCUACAGUUAGGGUGGGUUUACUCACAAGUGGCAAUAAAAUCUCUAAAAAGUGUAGGUAGGAGCAUUGGAGUUUUUUGUGUAUGUAAAAAAUUGAUGUAUCCUUUCUAAAUGAGUGAGGGGAUUACUUUAUUAGAGAAUACAACUCUCUCUCAAAAAUUACCUUUUGUGUUUGUUGUAAUGCAGGAGGAACUGGCCAUGAGUAGGUAAGCAAUUUUAGAAGUUGAGUUACAGAAGUAUUUCUAACUUGCCAGGCAGUUCGUUGCAGGUGCAGUGCUAUGUAACAGGUGAUACAAACAAGAAGACUAAGUAUUUCAAGGAGAGUUUCACGGCAGGUGACCUACAGUCUUCAGUGAAAUACUGUGUGAAGUAAGCAUGUGUAUUUCAAGGAAAGGUAUUUUGUUACUGCAGCCUUAAGUAACCUCUCAUUCCAGAAUCAAGCUGACUUCUUAAGGCUGCAACAGUAAGGGAAUCUUACGGAACAAUAGUCACAUGCUGCCAUGUUUGAACUGAUGUACAGCCAAUGCAGUUUAAACCCCACCAAACCUGUUCAGAGAUAAACUAUAAAUAAUAAUCUAAAGGAAACACUUUGAUGUCUGUUUUGUAUACAGUAUUUGAGACACGUGAACAGGAGAAAGAUACUUUUUCAUCACUACCAUGUAAUAUUCUCAUGUAAUGUAUGCUGGACUAGAUGACUAAUGUUGUAAAGUUUCCAUAGCAUAAUCCACUCAUCAUUCUGAGAAAGAGUCUAAGAAUUAAAGCGGCAGUGAAGCCAUAUGAUCUGUAUAUAGCAUAGCUGUGUGCACUUCUUGGGAUUUGAGUGUCUGAUACGUCAUGUGUUUUCAGCCCUGCGUUUGGUGGAUUAGAGAUGUAAUUUCUUUAAACAAUAACAUAAAUUGUAUGCUUAAUCCAAUGCACAUGGUGCAGAAGAGUGUACUUACUGGAGAAUGCUGUGGCCUCACUGGGAAUGUGUUGCUAUAGACUCUCAUAAAAGUCUUACACUAAUAGGUACUGUUAACUUUUUAUGUUGUAGCUAGAGAAGAUAUAGCUCUAUAUGACAGGUUACAUGCCGCUGUUUUUACAGAUGGAAGAUCUUGUUCUGCUCCCCUGUACUUUCUAAUGAUAAAACUGUUAACUGUAUUCAAAGGAGUGGAGAAAACAAAAAACUUGUGUCCUGGGAGAAGUUCUCUCUGUACCUGUAGGCUUAUAACCAUUUGGGCUCUCAAGAUGUUUCUGUACAAAAAUCUUUUUUCUUAAAUUUUCAGCAACUUCGUUACGGGUGUAGCACUCUGCUGGAAAAUUGAGGGGGAAAAAGGAUGGGUCAUGCUUUAAGAUAGAGUCCAGUCAUUUAAUUUGUUACUGAAAAUCUAAAAUUGUUCCCAGGUCUCUCGGCCAUGAUUCAGGGAGCCAGGGAGUCUUCAUGUUAAAUGUGUAUUAUUCCCAUAUUCAAAGCCAGCAAUUCCUAAUUUGAAAUGUGUGUCUUCUGCUAGAAUGUCGUCUUCUUGGUUAGCUUACGUGAGGUAAGUAGAUCUCAUAAGAAAAAACAUGCAUGUAAUGGAGCUCAUGCCUCCUGCUGUUGUACCUGGUAAUGGGUGAACUUGAAGGACUGCAGCUCGGAAGGGGAGAUUAGCAAAGUCUGCUGCUUGAUUCUGAAGUCUGGGAUAUACUAGAGGGUGGUUUUCAGCAAUUACUGAGACAAGGUGCUGUGCAAAGGAGGCUUGGAGAGAAAACAAUGUCUGAGCAGAAUACUCACAUAUAGUAGGAGAAAGAAAGAACAGACCAAAUUAAAAGUGUAUUUUUUUAAAAAUAGUAUUCUGUUUAUACUUAGUAUUUAAACAACUACGCCGUUAAGACUACUUCACUGGAAAGAACAUUCUUUACGUUUUUGUGUGUGUACUCAUCACAGGUUUUAUAGAUCAGAAUACACAAGGUAAGUUUCCUCUAAAAAUACAAUAGAGUAUUGAAUCUGUUUAAAUAAAACACCAUUGUAGUUGUGAAACAGGAAAUGGUUAUGAUUUAAGACACAUCUCUGUGGAAAACCUUUCUGUGCUAUAUACAUAUACAUCUCACAUAUGUAUAUUUAAAGAAAGCCCACAAACGUAAGCGAUCUCUUUUUGGGCUUUUUGAUAACCAGAAUUGUCAUAGCGUGGCUGUCUCGUAUACAGGUGUAUACAUUUUAUUGUGAAUCUGAGUUUUCCUGUCACAGACGUUUUUUAAUAGUACAUUUUUAUACAAGAGCAGCUGCACUCAGAUAAUCUGACCAGCAGAUGUAAUCUAAGAUAUUUGCAAUGAUGUUUCUUCCAUGUUAUAAACAAAAAUACUGGGUUUGUGCCUUACUGAUGCUUAAGGUUCAUCCUUUCUAGCUGUUUGGAUAAAUAUUGCUUUUCUAGAUCAAAGUAAUGAUGUUCUAGUCCUGGGAACAUUAAUGAGACAUGUUGGUUUUGCCUCUAAGUGCCUUGGUUUGUAAUACGUUCCAGAAAUGUAUUCCUGAAUGUCUUUUUAUUUCUACUGUUGUGAUCCUAUGACAAGGUUUACUGCAAUUCUUAGCUGUAUAAGCAGAAGAAUGUCAACAGUAAAGGGAGAUGAGUUCUGUAGGGCAUUGAUGGAACCCUAUUGAAAACGAUUCCAUGAAAAGCCCUAGAAAUAGUGACACUAGAAAAUGUAUCACCAGUAUGUGUUUAGAAUCUAUUUUAGCUGGAUUUAUUUAAAGAAGAUGAAGCUGAACCUCAGAAGAGUUUAAAGACUGGAAAGGAGUAUAUUCAUCAUGGAGGAGUACACACAGUAAUAACCUACUUGCAUGGGGAUGAUUAGAUGCUGCUUUAAAGGUCUGUCUAUUGCUUAUGUCUCAAAUUCAAAACCGGUAUUUCUAUUCUACAAAAAGACAAGCUACAGCACAAGGUGAAGUAACUUGAAUCUUUCCUCUUUUUCUUCCAGUUGCUAUGUGAAAGUUCUACACAAUUUCUUAUCCUGCCUUCUGUUUCUGUCCUUCUAGAAAGGCCCGAGUACGUGUUUAAAUUAGUAGCCUUAAUUUAAAAAGAGGUGCGAUAGUUAGCAUUAAUAAGAAUACAUAAUUUGAAAGCAAGUAAAAAUAUUUUUGGCAAGACUCCUUUUCUAGCUGCAUUGCUCCAAAUGAAUUAACUAAAUCAACAUAUGCUGAAAAAUAUUUGUCUUGGUGUUUACUGAAACAAGAGUCGGAUCCUUUGUUAGAACCAAUAUGUCUCCAAUUCUUAGCUUACUGGAUGAAAUGCAUAAUUUAAUUUUUUGCUAAUUAUUUUAAAGUGUUUUGAGGUCCUAACUGGUACCAAAAGAAUUUUCUUUUCAAGCUGUAUGUGAUAUAUGUGGAACACAACAUAAGGAGUGUAAGGAGAGAACUGUAAUGUCCAGUACAAGAGAAUUUAAACAAGGCUAUUUUUUCUGUACCAGUACACUAAAUGAAAAGGUAUACCUGAACCAUCAAGAGUAGAGAGUCAAUGAUAGUGCUGCAAGAAAGUGUAGCUUGAGACUGCUUUCUCUAUAUAUAUAUACACACACAAAAUAAACAGUUAAUUAUAAAAGUUGAAAUGCUUUUGGUUAGACACCCCCCCCCCGCUAAAAGGUAUCCUUUCUUGUAUUCUUGGUCUUGUAUCAAAUGCCUGUUCACAUUCUAAUCCAUUGUAUUAAUCCCUCCUUUUUCCUCCCAUAACACUGUUGUAUUCACAGUUAAGUUGUUGCCAUUUGGCUUGUUUGUAUAGCAUUCCGUAUGAAAUAUCUCACAACGGUUUCUACUUCAUACCCAAAGAAUUCCCCCUUAAUUGCAGCAUGCUGCAAUAUUAUCAAACGCAUGCUAAACACAACAGGUUAAAACAAGAAAUGAAGACUACCACUGAUACUGCAGGAAAAAUCUGUGUAGGCAGAAGUAGUCAUCGCAGAUGGGAUUCAUUCAGUAUCCUGCUGUUAGUUCUACCACCCACAGAAUCCCUAUUAUCAUUUCCUAGCAAACACACUUCAUUAGCUCUUAAGAAAUCUGUAUUGUCUGUUCCUGCGGAUAGCUGAAAUUACUGAGAUGAUAUGGAUAUAAAAUAGUUAAAGUUCAGGUCAAUUAAAAAAAGUUUGUUUUUGAAGGUCAUAAUAAUUAUUGUUUGUCAUCAAAUGAAAAUACACUUAAUAUAAUUUGAAGAACUACUUCCAAAUUUAUCCUUGAUUACUAAAAGUGUUCUUCCUGUCAGUAUUGAGCGCUAGGGUAUUGUGGUACAGUUGUUCUCCCUGUUCCCUACCUGUUUGUUCGUUUGUCCCAAUUAAUGAAGUGAUACUAUAAACCUGAGAAAGCGAUGUGCUGUCACAGAGGAAGGAAGCAAGGUUUGGCCUUUUUGCUGAAGCACAAGCUGACAUUCCUGAUUUGUAUACAGGGUGGAGUUCUGCAUUCUUUUUAUUCCUGUGAGUGUUGACAGUGAUGACAGUUCUUAUGGGAGAGACAGUACUUUGAUCAUGUGCAUAGCUGAGUAUGAAGAGGAAACUUGCAUUAAAUUAUUGUAAGGGACACAAUGACUUAGGAAAGCUGGGAGAGUGAAUGAAAAGCUAGAAAUUCUGAUUAUUCUGCCCUUUUUCUACAAAAAAAUAAUGCUGUUGUGCUGUAACAUAAGUUACAAAGCAGCUUUGCUGCAAGCAGGAUCAAGAGAUGGAUCCAAAUUAGAACAGAAAAAUCCCUGAGUGCUUGUUUUAUUUUAGAUGGGGUAAAAAAAACCCCGCCUCUAAAAUUAUGAAAAAUUGCCUGAUCUGAUUCACAAAUAGUUGUAUCAGAACAACUAUGAGGAGGGAGGCACUGUGGUGUAAGGGUGGAAACUCCACAAGUUGGUGUAGCUGCCAGAGUAUUCUCAUACUGUUAAACCACAACCAAAGAAAUCAUAGUACCCUUAGCAGAAUUUAAUUAAAACUUCCAAAUAAUCCAUUCCUGUGGUGGUCAGUUCAUUUUGAAUAAGGGGAGAGUAAUUGUUUCCAAGUCCUUUGCCUAAAGCAAUGGAGUAGACUACAGGAAUUUCUUGUUUAAGAGUUCUUCAUAAAUUACCAAAUCAGAGUCACAUGGCUUUAUAUUCUUAAAGUAAAGUGAAUAUUAGCUGCUAAAUGUUAGUUGCUAAAGGUCAUGGAAUUAUAGUAUGAAGAGCUUGCUGUUCAAGCACUAUCUUGUCACUUCUUGUUCCUCUGUUUACCGAAUUGUUAACCAACAUAUUUAAUGCCUCAGAGAAUCUCCAUCUUACUAUUUUUUCCGUCCUUGUAGCUUUACAGAUUUCCGUGAAUGAAACAAUAGAGAUUUCACAUGUUGAUUUCCUCAGUUAGUUUCAUUUUGGCCAUCUGGUGGUGAUGUCACAUAUAAUCACUUGUGUCUAACAAGCACCUGAUACGUUUUCCUUCCUUGGGGAAUGAAAGUACAAUUCAUAUACCAGCUCUGUAUCAGGCUGUAUUUGUACUACAGGCAGUGGUUCACUAUCAUGAGUCAGAUAAAUAGGAGACUAGUUCAGCUGUUUCAGUUACUUUAGACCAUUUCCUGCAACUUUACUCACCCUCCCAAUUAACAUGAAUACAUGUUUGGGUUUUUUUUCCAAGUUAGCCAUUAAAGAGGUUAAGCAGGUUGGGCCCUGUGACUAAUUUAGUUUCCUUGGCUCUGACUGCAUUUUGCUGCUCCCCUAGAGUAUUCCGUAAUACUUCAUUAGCAUGCAGGGGAUAGUCUGAGAUUCCUAAUUGUAGGACAAGACUUGAAAAUGCUCUCAAAAUCUCAGAGCUCCACAAUGAGAAAUCCCAGCCAUAAGUAAGACUAAGCAUGGAAAGGGGAAUACAGAAGUACUUUUAUUGUAAGAUCACAUCUUGCAUUACCAUUGUCGUCAUUAAUAUAGCUCCUUACCCCUGUUCUUCCAUGUUCCAUAUUGAUUAAAAAAUAAACAAACUACUACUGCCACAGCAAAACUUGGUGAAAACGGUGCUGCAGUAAUUGGAUGAAGCUUUUCAACCUCUACAGGAAUUUGUUCUUCCACUAACAUUGCAAAGGGAGUAGGCAAUCAGUUUUUGUCAUUGCUGAUGCCUUAUCACAGGCAACAAAUGAAAUAGUUGCCAAACUAUUUUGCCAGACAACGUUUAAAUAUAGUACACUCAUUUUAGAAAUGUCAGCAAUAUAAAGAGGCAGCAGCUAAAUGGAAAGAGCAUGACCUAUCAGUGAGCAGUACACAUUUCCCCUACCAGUGUUUAUUUGUGAAUCACGAUGAAUAUUACCUCCAUGGAUUGAAGUCCUGAUCUUAGUCAUUUGCACAGAAAAUGGGUUUGUUCAGGAGCUGAAGCUUGUCUAUACCGACACUAACCUGGAACAGGAAAAGCUUUUUGUUUUAAGUUAGCUUUAGAAAUCACCUUAACUAAAUUAGAAAAAAAGGCACACACUGAAAUAAGAGUACUCACUUCAAGGGUACCUCUUUGCAAUGCUUCUCUACCUAGGGCUACGUGCCAGAUGCUAGUGCUGAAAGAAAACUGAUUACUCCUUCCACACAUUGCUCUAAGAACCUUAGAUAACUUUCCUCUGUUGUCUUUUAUACUACCUGGUGUGCUUCAGCAUGGAGGAGCAGAAAAUAUAUAGAUAGUACUGCAGGUGUUACAUAUUAUGAGUGCGGCAUUUUUGCUUUUGAGUCAAGCCACUGACUGCAAGUUUAUUUCCAUCUGUAUCCUACUCAAGUAGAGAAAAAAUAAAAUCUAUUUAAACAUAAACACCAGUUCUACUUCCCUUAUCUUUUGCAGAGAUUUGUGUGUUAAGAAUCACAAACAGGAAGGAAUAUUCUGCAGCCUUCAUAGAAAUUUCUGACAGAGAUGCACUAAUAGAAUAACCAGCUGCAGACAGAAUUAUUUCAGUAGAAAAUGAGUUUUCAUAACCCAGACGCUGCUGCCCAUAUGUACUUUCUCUCCCUACUAGGAAAUCAAGCAAGUCAGAUACCAAGAAGCCUUAAGAGUUGAAGUAGGUUAAGUUUACCUAGAAGUGCAGUUAACUGUGCUCCAAGGGCAGGUUAGCAGAAGCUCCUCUUGCUUUUCAAUUAACAUCCAGAGAUCAGACAGCUUAUGUUGAUGUAGCUCAGCCCCAGUGUGCUAGGUUCUAGCUAAGGUGAAGCAAAUCCUGCAGUGAUUAAUGUUUUUUUCCCCAGCUUGUUUUCCUCGGCUCUGUAAUUGAAAAUUGCUAAAGCAGGUCAUUUGAAGUAUGUGUAGUAUCUUAGGAACUAUAACUUAGUGAUCAUAAAUUUGCAUUACAAAUGCAGGUAUAGCUCCUCACCUGGCAUAAAUUUUCAAUCUGAACCACUUAUUAACCGUACCACAACCCUGACCCUGUAAUCACCACUGGCCUAGUAUCUGUUCAUUUGAAGCUGCCAUUUUCUUCUAGUUUUUAUUCUCUGUUCCCUUCUUCUGGAUGCUUUUGGUUUUAUGUAAAGAAACAAUGAGUUCUUUCUACUUCUCAUUCAUUCUUCUGCAGUGAGGAAACACUGAAAAACCCAUAUAGAAAUUAUGAAAGCAAUAAAAGAAUCAGCUAAAACAUAUCAAGGAAAGAUGCAACAACAAGGAAAACUGGGAAGUGGAAGAAAUGUUGAGAAUGCAUGAAAGACAUAUGUCACCUAUUCUUCUCAAAUUGAGUAAUGCUGUAUCUGUGUUUUCUUAAAAAAAAACUUUCAGAGAAAUAUGUCUGGUAAUCUUGCUCUACACAGGAGGUACAGCUAUUAAGCUUAAGCAGAAGUAUGAAUUUUGAAGAAAUUAAAGGCAACGCAGUGUUUGGAAUGUUUACCAUCAGCAGGUAGGGUUAUCAAGCUCCUGAAUAUACAAAAUACUUAAGUUAUGGCCAGAUACUGCUGUCAGAAAGACUGAAGAGCAAAACUUUAAUCAAUCUGAAAGAUUUAAGGUGUUUCAGUGAAGUAGAUAAAAAAAUGUAUGUAAGCAUUAAAUCAUUAAAAUUACUUAAGCCUCUUAAUCUUCUCAAAAGCAGAUUAGGCUAGAUGUAAACAAAACAUGACACGAAGUCCAGUUUUGGUUUCAUACACUAUGUAUCCUUGGUACAGAAUUCAGUAUGUACAGUUCUGAAUGCUGAUUUUCGUAAGAUACUAUAGGCUUCUACAGUCUCCAAAAUGUAACACUAGCUAUGGAGUUACUUUAACAGCUAUCUGCAAAAACCACUAAUGACCCCCCCAUCCUAGCAAUACAUAUAUUACUUCUGAAUUUUCAGGAAAAAGGAAAACUCCUUGAAGUCAGUUAAAUGUUUGUUUGUGCUCAUAUUAACUGCUGCCACAGUGCAUGCUUUCAUUAUUCCCUUUAAAUUCUGUGAUUUUCAUAAGCUCAAAUGGCAGAUGAGGGGCCACGCAAUAUCAAUUUUCUCAUACAAUAUGUGUAUGUUAUUACUUCCUUGCAAAGCUUGUGAUUAAAGGAAGAGCCUUUCAGAAUAAUUCCUUAGCCCUACUGAACGUGAAGGACAAUAAAAGAUUGUUGCCAGUAAUGUACUUUUUAAAAACCUCUAAACAUUUUGCAUGGUGUCUUAAUAGCAAUACAGCUUUUGCUUUUAAACCUUGCAGAACUAAGAACUCUUUAAAAAAGUAAGGUUUUAAAAAGAACUUUUUGCACCCUUAAUUAUUGCACCACAAGUUGACAAAAGGCUGAGAAUUAAGUCUUCACAGUUGGUACACUAUUAAAUGACAUUUUAAAAGUAAAUGGAGCAUUUCAAAAGUUCUAACCAAAAAAGAUAUCAUUAGAAGAAAAGAGGCUUAAUGCUAUUGUAAGAAAUAUUGACUAAUUCUAUUAAGUUUACUUAUAGGAAUUUGGUCUUUUUCAAGGUACUGUUGAAAAAGUUUAACAUGGACCUUGGAAGAACUACAGAAAUAAAAAAACACUUAUGCUAAAAAUUAGGUUAAUAAUACACUAGAGCGUACUUUGUCCAACAUGUUUAAUUCCUUGUUGCUCAAUGAUUUAUUCUUUCUCUAAUUACAGCAGAUGGAUCAGGUACAGUUUUAGAAUUAACUUCCCUAUGGUUGUAACUUGCUUCA